UACAGAGGUCUCAAGCGUUGUUCGGAAUUACUGGGCGUAAAGGGCGCGUAGGCGUUUCGCUAAGUUGGAUGUGAAAACUCUGGGCUUAACCCAGAGCCUGCAUCCAAAACUGGCAAACUUGAGUACUGGAGGGGAAAGCGGAAUUCCUGGUGUAGCGGUGAAAUGCGUAGAUAUCUGGAGGAAUACCGGUGGCGAAGGCGGCAUCCUGGACCGGCAUUGACGCUGAACAGCGAAAGCUAGGGGAGCAAACGGG
rnacentral:rRNA from 1 species